GGGAUUGCCCUAGUAACGGCGAGUGAAGCGGCAACAGCUCAAAUUUGAAAUCUGGCGCAAGCCCGAGUUGUAAUUUGUAGAGGAUGCUUCUGGGUAGCGACCGGUCUAAGUUCCUUGGAACAGGACGUCAUAGAGGGUGAGAAUCCCGUAUGUGACCGGCCCGCACCCUUCACGUAGCUCCUUCGACGAGUCGAGUUGUUUGGGAAUGCAGCUCUAAAUGGGAGGUAAAUUUCUUCUAAAGCUAAAUACCGGCCAGAGACCGAUAGCGCACAAGUAGAGUGAUCGAAAGAUGAAAAGUACUUUGGAAAGAGAGUUAAAAAGCACGUGAAAUUGUUGAAAGGGAAGCGCCUGCAAUCAGACUUCGCGGCAGUGUUCCGCCGGUCUUCUGACCGGUUUAUUCUCUGUCGCGAGGCCAUCAUCGUCUCGGCCCGCUGGAUAAGACCUUAGGAAUGUAGCUCACCUUCGGGGGAGUGUUAUAGCUUCUGGUGAUGCAGCGAGGCUGGGGCGAGGUCCGCGCUUCGGCAAGGAUGAUGGCGUAAUGGUUGUCGGCGGCCCGUCUUGAAACACGGACCAAGGAGUCUAACAUCUAUGCGAGUGUUCGGGUGUCAAACCCCUACGCGUAAUGAAAGUGAACGGAGGUGGGAACCGCAAGGUGCACCAUCGACCGAUCCUGAUGUCCUCGGAUGGAUUUGAGUAAGAGCAUAGCUGUUGGGACCCGAAAGAUGGUGAACUAUGCCUGAAUAGGGUGAAGCCAGAGGAAACUCUGGUGGAGGCUCGCAGCGGUUCUGACGUGCAAAUCGAUCGUCAAAUUUGGGUAUAGGGGCG
rnacentral:rRNA from 1 species